CAGCGCGGGACCGAGGCUGAGAAGGCACAGAGGAGGGAGGCGACACCCAUGGGGAACGGGCCAUCAGCCGCCCCCAGGAGCAGCAAGGCCGCUCUGUAGAAUUUUCCAGAAAUUGCAACCUGGCUCUCAGGAGGUCUCAGAGUGUUGAGGAGGGUGGCUCAGGCUUGAGUGCAAUUGCAGAAGCAGGCAAUGACUCAUCCUGUGUUUAUCAGAAACUCUACAACACAAAAAUCCACUAAAAUAAAUCCAUAUGGCCAACGCCAGAGCGCCUGACAAUGAGACAGAUUCUUGCCUUUUACGAACAUCCGCAGACAAUUAGCACACCCUCCUGGUCACAUGCUGGGAAAUUUUCCCUUCUUUCCCUUUAUUCCUGCUUUUGCAAUCUGGGAGGAACAACAAAAGGAGUCUCUCUGUGCCUCUGUCCCUCAGAUGGGGGUGCACGGGCUUCCACCAGCAAAACAUUUCCAUGUGGCUCUCGAUGGGCAGGGGACUCAGCGGCCAGCAUGGACCUGCUUUUCUAAAACUUGGGUCUGAGUCCAGGUCCAGCCCCUUCUUUGCUAUGUGGACUUUGAGGAGCAAUUGAAUCUCUGUGUCUUGUUACCAUUCAGCCAGCUGUCCACCAAUUCAGAGCGUGUUCACUGAGCACCUGCUACGUGCUGGCCUUGGGUUAAGUGCUGGAGAUAUCAAUGUGCCCUCCUGGAGCGUGUGGACCAGAGAGACAGAAUUAAACCACUAACAACAAAUAAGAGUGAGGGCUGUGGUCUCAGAGGCCUUGCAGUGGACACAUGGACAGAAAGUCCAGUCCUGGGGAGUCAAUGACACGCAAGAUAAAUCUCUGAGCAGCAAGGACAGUCAAGAUGCAAGCGUCGCUCCUUGGACUCUGAAACCUGUGUCAUUUCCUCCCUGCUUUGCAGUGCUGCCCACACAACAGCUGUUGGGUGCCGGGAAUUAGGAAUCCGGAUUCAGAGCCUGCCCAUGUGUGGCCGAGGCGACGGGCCUUCCCAGGUGUGGUGCCACAUGCCCAGAAGGCUGCUCUACAGAGGGAGGAGAACGGGGCUGGUUGCAGGGGGAAGCCGAGUUGUCUCCCCAGCAAACACUCCCAGGCACCCCUUCCUGCUUUCGAAGAGAACCUCCAUUUUCUUUGGGAAGCCCCCCUUCCCCAUAGGAUGGUGGCGAUCCCCUUUACCUCGCCAGUGAUCCACUCGGCACCUGACUCAGCUGUGGCCAAAGCGGCACGGGCCAGGGCUAGAGGAGCUUCUGGAGGGCUCCUAAGAAAGAGACGCCUGGGAAAAGCAGCCCUCUCUAGGAUUAGAUGCAGCCCUGUCUUCAUGUGUGGGCCACCGUGAUGCCAGGAAAGGAGCACUCGCCACAGAGCCAGCGAUGGAGGUGAGUGGGAAGGAAAGACGGGAUAGACCAGAUGCCGGAACACGACGGAGCCUCCAGAGAAGGCCACUGGGGCAUCCUACGUCAGGACCCGCUGUGAUGUGGGAAAACAUACUUUUCUCAUUGUGUGGGCAAGGUGAGUCAGAGUUUUCUGUUUUGUGCACAGACAUUUGAACUACUGCACAGGGACGGAAGGACACGCAGCCCAGGAGGGAGGGGCUGAGAGAGGGGCGGCUCCCCAGCCUCCAAUUCCCUCCCCAGACCUGAACGCCCAGCUUCUCUUUGCAUUGUGUGAAAUUCCAGUGUCUUCCCAAGAAAUCCUCCUUCACCAUGUAAGCAACCCUGAGGCAGAUUCUAUUGCUUGAAACCCAA
rnacentral:lncRNA from 1 species